CCUACGGGUGGCAGCAGUGAGGAAUAUUGGUCAAUGGACGAGAGUCUGAACCAGCCAAGUAGCGUGAAGGAUGACUGCCCUAUGGGUUGUAAACUUCUUUUAUAUGGGAAUAAAACGUUCCACGUGUGGGAUUUUGUAUGUACCAUAUGAAUAAGGCUCGGCUAACUCCGUGCCAGCAGCCGCGGUAAUACGGAGGAUCCGAGCGUUAUCCGGAUUUAUUGGGUUUAAAGGGAGCGUAGGUGGAUUGUUAAGUCAGUUGUGAAAGUUUGCGGCUCAACCGUAAAAUUGCAGUUGAAACUGGCAGUCUUGAGUACAGUAGAGGUGGGCGGAAUUCGUGGUGUAGCGGUGAAAUGCUUAGAUAUCACGAAGAACUCCGAUUGCGAAGGCAGUUCACUGGACUGCAACUGACACUGAUGCUCGAAAGUGUGGGUAUCAAACAGGAUUAGAUACCCUUGUAGUC
rnacentral:rRNA from 1 species